rnacentral:lncRNA from 1 species
AUCAUUCGUGACACCUCGGUAUUUGUGCUAGGCAGUUGUAGCGUAGACUUCAGAUGAGUGGGUCCUUUCCUUUUUAUAGUAUAAUAUAGUAUAGUAUAGUAUAGUAUAUACAUACAUAUAUAUAUAUAUAUAUAUAUAUUUGAUUGAUGGUUUCCAUUUAUGCAUCUGAAAAAUAAUUUCUUACGUACGUUUGGAUUAGACUAAAGUUUAUAAGAAUUAGCAAAAUGACAUAAUUUAUAAAAUAUGCUACAUCUUAUGGGAUGCACAGGUAUGCUUAUAAUAUUUGAUGCCAUAAUUAUAUCUACGACUAUUAGUAUGUUGAUUAGAACUAUCGAAUCACUGUGGCAUGCUUAAAUUUAUGUAAUCUGCUCAUCAUUGCUGCACCCCGAUGUUAGUGCUCGCCCAGGGCCAGUCUUUCACGUGUAUGUUCAUCUCCGCACUGCACGCUCGCCUAGGUGCCAGUCCUAUCUUACAUGUUGCAUUAGGCAACUCUGACUCGUAGGUGACCGCGAAUAGCGCCAGUCUUCACGUGAUUGUAGCAUUAUAACAUAUAUUAUGAUUACACAAAUCCUGUCGUACAGGUCGCAUUAGGUGACUUCGACUCGUGUGCUAGCAUAGAUUAAUGAGCAUCAGUUCAGUCGUACAUGUCGCAUUAGGCGACUUCGACUUGUGUGCUAGUAUAGAUUAUUGAGCACCUGAUUUUACUUAUAUUACUGUUGAGAUUUUGGAUGUCCUGCCUUUAGUUACGAGAUAUUGUGCCGUAAUGAAUUCUUGAGAUUUUGCAGGUUACGGUAAGUAUUUUUAUACUAUACGUAGUAAGUAUAUUUUGGAAACUAUAUUUGUUUUAAGGUGAAGGGUUACAAUGUUUUUAGAAAGGUUUUUAUAAAGCUUUAUUUUCAGGUUCACUCACCCUUGUUUUUUGCCCUUCCAAGUUUUAAUAACUAAGCUUUCUUAUCGACGAUGAUUCGUGUCAAAUCUUGGUAUUGGAGAUUACCUUUGUUGGUAUGAUUCUCAAUCCACUCUACUGUACUUUACUUAUGCUCUGAGAUCAUGUGUGAAAUGAGUUCAUUCCCACUCACAUCACACUCUUAUAUUUAGGCACUUUUAGGUUUAAAUUUAUUCACAUUUUCCAUAUCACUUCACUUUAUGGCUUCGUCAUCUUUCAGGUGUCAGCCAGUACAACUCGAUUCAGAGACCUAGGAGACUUUCCGGGUCGGGGUGUGUCAUUAAAGGAAAUUAAUUGUAAUAUAAUUAAAUAUUUAAAAUAAAUUGUGAAAAACACUUACUUCGUUGUAGUAAUUGGCGCCUCUUUCAUAUCUACUUACGACUGCUAACAGUGCUUUAUGCCAUUUAUUCAAACUUGGAUGAAGAUGUUUCUUCUAUCUUGAAGAACAACUGUCGUGGUUUCGAGUAUUCGGUGGAGUGGUGCCUUCGUAGAACUCAUAAUAUUUUUUGGACACACGAGUCCAAACACCUUCACUUGUUUGAGAAGUCCCCCUCACACUAUCUUUCGAGACCCAUCUAUAAGCCCUGCAAAUAGCUUCAUCUUCUUUUUGGGUCCAAGCCCUACCUUUCAUUACAGAUGAGGCUAUUUGAAAAUUAUUGAAAAAAUUGAAGGAAAGAUUAUUGGAAGAGGUAAGAAAAUAUGAGAAUUGAAAUGGUGUAGGAAUGGUGAAAAUUAUGUGACAAAUGGUGUAGGAAUGACUUAGGUAUUUAUAGGAAAAAAUCAUAGGUUGGUUAGGUUGGGCCAGUUGGUUGGCCCUUUGGCCUUUUUUUUGUCCCAUGGGGUCCACGAGCCUUGGGUUGGAGACAUUUUUCUGGUUAUUUUCGGCUCUCUAGACCCUUCUGUUGGAGAUGGUUUAACGGUUCCCAGCUCUGGCCUUCUCAUCACGCUUAUAUUCAGAGCCUUUUACCGUCUCUUUUUAAGUUGUAGCUAGAUAUGUAUAUAUGGGAUCUUUAAGGGAAAUGAUUUCUAUUUUUUUUUUAUAAAAAUUGAGGUUAAUUAUGGAGUUCACACUACAUCAAACUUUAAUGAUUCGAAUCGUCUGUUUUUCAAGUUGCAUCUCAUAGAUCUUGCAAAAUAUUAGUCAAAUUAUAAAUGUUUGAGACAUCUAAUUGGGUUCAAAGAAGUUAACAAGUACUUUGUUAUAUAAGAAACAAUGAAAUUUUAUCUUGAUAAUUAAAUAGGCAAAUGGCUUUGGAUUGAAUUGAAUUUUUGUAAGGAUGAUCUAUGAAUCGAGACUUACAAAAUAGACAGUUCAGAUUAUUGAAGUUCGAUAUGAAGUGAGCCCCACACCUAAUCCCCCUUUAAAAAAAAAUAAUUAAGGAUCCCUUUACAUAAAGGGCCUGUGUAUAUAUGCUUCUUAUCGUUGUUGUGUUUUCUUUAAGCCCACUUACAACUCAAAUGUAUAUUUAACAUAUGAGAGAAGCAAUAAUUUAGAGUUAAUUAUAAUUAGGCUUUUUUAUUAGCACUCCACAUUAAAAUUUAAUAGAAAAUGACUUAUAUAUUCUCACACACAAUAAUAAUUUUGACCUUAUACAGCCUUUAAAAAAAAAAAUUAUAAAUACAUUCCAAAUCACUUUAAACGUGUAUAUCUCAAGAUUAUUUAUCUUCAUCAAUUCUAAACAAUGUACCAACCACGAUUGUUAUUGAUUUAUGAUAUUUUUUUAGAUAUAAGCUACUGAAUAAUUAGACUUGGUGACAAAACUUUUUGGGAUUUAUUAUACUCAGUUAUUGGGUUAUACCGUUAUGGUUAUUUUUAUAUAUGCGGAGAUGUUCAAUUUCAAACAGUGCCCAGUCCUUUUCGAUUUUAGUCUCUUUGAUAGGUUCAACUCCAUUUUCUUUGUUGUCUGAGUUUAAUUUUUCCGCCAUAAUCCUUUUUGCUUUCUUUACCAUGUAAAGUGAAUAGAAAUAUGUCCAACCUUCACCUAAUGACACUCUCCCUCGUAUUAAACGAUGCAAAUUCUGCAUUGUGAAGGUCUCAAUAAUGUAUUUUCCUCGUAUUGAACCAUGCUUUCCUUAUUGAUAUAUUGCAAAAGUAGUCAAUUAGCUCUUUUACUGAUACAUGAACAAAAACACAUGCAAAUAGGAUUAAAUCAUUGUUGGCAUCAUAUCGUCCAGAUAUUAAGUGAUAAUAUUUAGGACAAUAUGAAGGGAUAGAGAAAUAGAAGAGAUUCAAACUCAGGACUUUGGCACCAUACCAAAGUGUAUUGGAAUCACUUUAAUAGAUAAAUUAGAAAAAUUUCGGUAUCACACCGGCCUUCAACUUCACACCGGCCUUCCGCUUCAUAACGAAAGUGCCUUAUAUGACCUUAUAUAUUUGCACAUAAGAUGUGAAAAGUGUGGAGUGUUGGAUUUAUCCAAUAUAAAUCGAACUUUAAGUGGUCUACUACAUGUAAUAGAAAUGUAAUAUUGGAGAAUAAUGUUGAUUGUGAUUUGAUCUCUUAAAGAUAUCAAUCCUAUAUAAGGUGUUUUAUAUUGGAAAUAGGAUUGAUGGAAUCCUUAAUUUAAUAUGAUUAUGAUACUUGACUUGAAGGCUAAGUAAGUUUAGGUUUCCUUUAUGGAUGGAAACCCUAACUUUUAGCUUAUAUAGAACACCGGUCCCUAUAAGCCCUAUAACACAACAUAAUGCUUCCCAUAAAGUAGUUGUAUCCGGCUAGGAGUUUAAAGAAGAUCCUGGUGUUGCCGUGCCCUACUAUUUUGUGUUCGAUUUCCAUGGCCGCCGUUGGAAUCAGGUCAAUUACUCAUUCGUUUGUGUUUUAAUUGUAUAACCUCAUAAGGCUAAAAAUUGGUAUCAGAGCCACUAGUUAUAUGAUUAAAACCUAUUAGGGUUUAGGUUGGACUAUAUAAUAUUUUUAUGAGCUGCGUUUUUAAUCCAUGUUAUGAUUGCAUAUACUUGGCAACACCACCAUGCUGUUUCAAUCGGUACAAUUGAUGAUUGUUAAUAGGUUAUAUAACCAUUCGGUUUUAGUCAAGAAUUUUAAUAAUCUUAUGGCAUGAAUCUGGGAAACUUUAUCAAGAAUAGCAGCAAAUCGUGGAUCAAUCCUAUAAUAGUGGCAUGCCGCAUGCAGAGAAGCAUAUAUAUAAACCAUGUCGAAGUAUAAAAUUAAAACAAAGGUGAUGAUCCAAUUAUGGAAUAAGCUUCAAAUCCCAACAUUUUUUAAACUAUACCUAUUUUAAUUGCAGAUAAUAUAGUUUAGUUGAUAGUUUUUUUUAUCAGGCAUCUUUAUUGCAUAAAAUAUGUUUGGGUCGAACCACCGAAGUCUGGAGAUUGCUAGUAUUUUGAUCAAGCAAGCGCAGAUAAUUUUUAUUUUUAGCCAAUUUGAUUAGUCAAAUUUGAUUACCACCAAUAGUUCUGAUAAGGGGAUGUUAAAGAAAAUUGAUUAGUUAGUUCAUUGGAUUAACUAUGACUGGAAACCAUGGCAUAUUUCAGAUUUUCUAUUUUAAAGUUGAUGUUUUUGGUUGGAAUGUUUAACCAUGUACUACGGAUGUCUUUGUCAAAUUUGUAACCAUAUGUAAAUAUACAUUUACACUGGAAAAGUGAUACGGCCUCUCCAUUUAGCAAGCCGAACUCUGCCAAAGCAGAGCAUUGUGUUUCAUCGACUCAAUUCGGAUUUUGGGUUUUUGGUGUAAUCUUUUCCCUUGGUCUUAAUUGCUGACAAGAUUUUGUGGUGGAUUUAAAAGGUGAUUUUUUGGUUCUUGCAUAACUUACAUAUGCCGUGACAUCUCCUUAUUAUUUGGAAUAAUAUGUUUUUGGUUCCUUGUUUUGGUUGCAUCAAAGAGUUUUCGUACUAGCAUAACCAACUAAUUAUUCAGAAUCCAAUUUUGACUGCAAUCUAAUUCUUAGAAUUAAGAAAGAGGCGUAACAGUUCAAAUAUUGCUUGACAUCUUUCAGAAUGUAGGUGACGGAAUUGUUCACUUUUAGAUGUCUCAAUACUAUUAUUGGUAAAUGGCGUGUAUAGUGUUACUUGUAUGGCUAAUUUGGUUCAAGCAUGAGAUAACAUAUUUUUAAUAUUGCCGUAGGUUUUGGACUAUAGUGAAUUGUAGUGUUGUUUCCACUAAUUUUCACGAGAUGUGAAUGAACUUUUAUGCCAUUAAUAGCACACGAAAUGUGUGUGACUAAUCAAUCAGUUUUGUCUACAAUUUUGCUUUCUUAUCUCAGUAUAGUCAUUUAAAUUAUACAUGACUAGUUAACUGUUAAAAUUGAUGCAUAAUUUGUGAAUUGACUAAGAAUGACAGAAAGCAUCAAGUGACAAGAACAAGGGUAUUAUACAAAUGAAUAAGGUUUGUAGUAAUUAUGGGACAGUUCUCAUUUGUAUUUUUAUCUAUUCUUAUAUGAGAAUUUUGGUUGGUCAUGUGAUUAUAUAUAUGUUCACAAAGAAGUGGUGAACAUAUGAAGGCAUGAGGUAUGUAAUCCAUUCAAAGUAUGUGGCUUAAUUGAUAAGCAUGAAUUUCAAACAUGUAUUAUUGUUUGUGGUUUUUCCUAUGCCUUAAGAAUUUAAGCAGUGCUUUGAUUAGUAAAUUUUUACGUGUCAUAAGGGGAUAAGAAAAGAAACUUUUCAAAGCUAAUGUACGGCACAUAUUGGAGAUGUUUUCUAUGGAAGAAAAUAAUUUUGGUUGUUCCUUUUAUUUAAUUUGGUAUUUACAAAGCUAAUGCAUGAUUUUAAUGCUAUGUUUAGUAGUUUUGUACUAUGGAAAGAAAUAUAUAAAAAGGAAAGGAACAUGUUUAACUUAAGAAAACAUUUGAGCAAUUUAGCUUUUAAGUAAUUGACUCCAUAAUGAUAAGUAUUGACAUUCUUGUGGUGGAUUGAAACUUGUUCUAUAUGUGAUUAAUCUCUUUCAAGUAUGUUGUCAGCUUUCUGAGAUUAAUUUAAUGUCAAAGGGAGUCAUGAAGGAAUUAGGGUCAUUUGUUGGCAAGACUCGAAGCUCAAAUUAGGUUAUCAUAAUUUUUUCACUUAUAGUUAAUUAAUCCAUGUGACUUCUUGUAUUGUUUCAGGGCAGAGUUGAUCAAUGUCUUUUCAACUAAAGCAAGCCACAACAUUUUAGUUGAUGAUGGGACUGUGUUUUGAGUUACUUCGGUCAACUUUGCAUCUUAAUUAGAAUAAAAGGGAUAAUCUUCUUGCCUACAUGUGUGGAUUACUUCUUUUAGUUUAAUUAAGAAGGCAUAGUAUGGGUUUUAUUUCACAGAAGUUGUGAAAAUCUUCAUCUUGCCUAUAGUUGUUGAAGUUUUUCAUGAAUGUACUUUUGUGACAUAAAAUCUAGUACUAGAAACUUGUUAAUUUUCUUGCCUACAUGUGUAAAUUAAUUUAGUUUCAUGAAGUUUAUUGGGAUAAAGUUCCAUGUCAUUAGUGACAAAUAUUUCCACAAUGAGCCCCGUAAAAGGUUGUGGUUUGAAGGCAUGGAAAUCGGUUGCAUCAUGAUGUAUUUUGUGUCUCUUCAUGAGACUUGUUGAUGCAAAGUAUUGGACCCAUGAAGGUUAAUCAAGGAUUGCUAAGGUACGCAUUGUUUAAAAUUUAUGCUUGUAAAUCUUUUCAAUUUGAACUAUGAUGUCGGUUUAAACUACUAAAGUUUCCUUUGGACAUUGAAAUUGAAAUGAUAUGAAAUUGAAUUUGUUAAGGAUGCAUUAAUUCAUGAUAGAUGCACAUAAUUGUAUCUGGCAGAUUACGUGACUUGAUUUAAAUCGGGUGAAUGACACGUCUAAUGGUCACCAAAUGACCUGAAUUUUGGAUAUGUUCAACAUAUAAAUGUCUAAUAUGUGUCUGCAAAGUUUCGUAAUUUUUUUCCGUGUAUUUUAAUUAUGGUGAAUUUACUAGUAACCCAUGCUUGUAUAGGCAGUUUUACUGGCAGAUUGUGUUAGUCUUUUUGAGACUUCACUUUAGACUACUAUUUUGACCCAAAACAGCUCCAUAUUUUUGUCUUAGGAAGAUUAGUAUGUCUAUUUUGAUCAGUAUAACUUUGGUAAAAAUCAAGCUUGUAAAUUAAUUAUGAUAAAUUCUAAAGUAAGUGCAACUCAUUGCUGAAAUUCUGUUUGACAACUUUAUGUUGGUUGUAAUGUCUAUUUUAUUAUGUCCAAAAUAUAGAGCAGUUUUAUUUAGGUACAUUUUUUAAAGAGUGUUUGCCCAAGUGGGAGAAUUAGUGAACGAAAAUUGGGCUUCACACUCAUUAACUUAUUUGCAAGUAUAAAUUAUGAAAACUUAGUGGGAGUUGUUCUAAAAUUUUGAGCAUUAAGUGGACUUGCAUGAGUCUAUUAAAACGUUAUUCUAUCUUCCAUGAAUUUGUGUUACUCGAAUGUCUAUAAUAUGUUUAAGUUGCACAAAUGGAUACUUGGUAUAUGCGUACAUUUUUCUGUUAUUUGCAAUCAUUUGGAUUUCUUGGUUGAUCAUUUGUUUUGAGGCUCAUAAGGACUUAGCAUAAAUGUGGACUUAUUAAUACACAUAAGAUGGUUGUUGGAUGCACGUUUUUUGUGUAAACAGCGGUGAAUGCUUUCAUGCUUAGUUGUACCUUUCAUUGAGGUAAUAUGCAUUCAUUGACUAAGUAAGGCUAUUCCCAAAGGCAUAUUUUCAAAAGUAUGAUUUAAGUAUUGAUUUGCAAAUUAAGUAACGAUGUUGCAGAUCAGUGGGAGUUUGAGUUUCGUGUUAGUAAUGCCUUACAUUUGCAAAUAACCUAUAAAGUAUGUAUAGAAUCCAUGUAUUCAUAUUAAUCUCCAGUUGGAUUCAUUAAGUUACAUUUUUUCGUGUGCUAGUCAAUUAUUUGAUGAAGUAUAUAUUAGAUAUCAAGUUGUUAUCAAAUUGCAUAUUAAAUGCCAUGACAUGGUUUGUGCACUACCUCAGUUGUGAGGAUUUCCAUCUUGCCCGCAGGUGUUGGAAAUCACUAUGAAAGUAACUGGUAUGGUGCAUAGAUUAUUGUCAAAAACAUAUUAAUUCAUCUUGCUCACAAGUGUUGAAUUUGUUUUAUGAAGUUUUUGGGAUAUUUUACUUGGACAUGUGCUUAUUUGGUAUUUUCAGUUGUGUCUGUUGGUUACAAACAUCGUUUGUAUUAUUAUUGAUCUAAUGAAAGUGAUGCAAGAUUUUUUUGGAGAUGUAUUCACACCUACAGGUUAUGGUGGUUUCAUUAGAUGAAGGAUAUAUGCAUUGGCAUAUUUAAGGCUUCGAAAAAGCAUAAAGUGUAACUUGUGAGUUACAAUAAGGUGGACCUGAGAUGAUAUAAAGUAAGACAUUUUGGUUAAUUUAAAGUUUAUCUAAAGUUUCAUCUCUUGAUCAUAAUUUGUGUUUCAUGUGAAUAAGGAUCUUAGCAUGUGUGAUUAUGAAGGUUCUGGGUUGUGUCAAUCCUACAACCUUGUUAGUUCCAUGUUAAGAAAUGCAUUUGACAGAACCUGCAUUAAGGACGAGAUGUAAUCACUGUUACAUGGCCACUAAAGUGACAUUAAUCUCCAAUCUCAAGUAUAAACAUGAAUAUUACAUUUUGUAGACCAAGUCGGAGAAUGUUGGAUUUAUCCAACAUAAAUCGAUCUUUAAGUGGUCUACUACAUGUAAUAGGAAUGUAAUAUUGGAGAAUAAUGGUGAUUGUGAUUUGAUCUCUUAAAGAUAUCAAUCCUAUAUAAGGUGUCUUAUAUUGGAAAUAUGAUUGAUGGAAUCCUUAAUUUAAUAUGAUUAUGAUACUUGACUUGGAGGCUAAGAAAGUAAGUUUAGGUUUCCUUUAUAGAUGGAAACCCUAACUUUUAGGUUAUAUAAAACACUAGUCCCUAUAAGCCCUAGAACACAACAUAAUGCUUCCUAUAGAGUAGUUGUAUCCGGCUAGGAGUUUAAAGAAGAUCCUGGUGUUGCCGUGCCCUACUACUUUUGUGUUCGAUUUCCAUGGCCUGUUGGAAUUAGGUCAGUUACUCAUUCGUUUGUGUUUGAAUUGUAUAACCUCAUAAGGCUAACAUGGAGUGUAUGUAGAAAAUGUGGGAGUGUAUAAAAUGUAAUGUGUAUGUUGAGAGUAUGCAGUGUGAGGGUAUUAUGAAAAAAUUUAUGGAGUGCAAAUGUGGAGUGUAUUAUAACUAGUGAGGUAUAUUCAACAAUAUGUGGAAAGUUAAUAUAACAAGUCAUUUAAUUAAUAUAAAAAUUUACAAAAAUAUUUAAGAUAAGUAUAUUAUCGAUUAGAACUAUAACAUUAGAAAAAUACUUUCUGCUAAAAAUAAGUAGAAAAUUCAAGAUCUUUAGUUUUUUUUUUUUCCCUUGAAGUAUCAAGAUCUUUAGUUUGUAGGUAAGCGCAUUAAUUUGCUGUCUAAAAUAAUUUUAGAUAUUAUUUAUUCAUACAUGAAAGGUAUGUUACACAUGUAAACGAAUACUUACAUUGCCUAUCACAAAUUAAAACUAAACCAACUCACAAGAACAAGGAAUCAACAUAAUCAUCUUCUUGGAAGACAAAAAGGACUAAGCCGAUCGACUAUAACAGACAAAUCGAUAGUAAUUUAAGAACUUGAAAUAUCCUUCCAAGCUUAGAUAAUUCCCACAUAAAAUGACAUGCAAAAACUAACCAAAAUAAUAUUUAAUAAAAAUAUUGACACAGAGUCAUGACUAAUAGAUAAUGGUUGACAUAGCAGAUGUCACUACUAGAAAAUUUGACUUUACCGACAAAAGUAGUUUGUUGGCAAAAGUCAAAAUUUGUAGGCAAAGUGUCUUUCCCAAGGAAAAAAUUUGUCGGCAAUUUUGUCACGAAAAGCAUGUCGCCUAAGAGUUUUGCCGACGAAUUUUGGUAUUUCAUCGGCUAAGAUUCAACUUUUCCCGUCAAAAUCUUAUUUGUCGGCAUUUCCAUCUUUUCAGACAAAUAAUUCAUCAGUAUAGGCCUUUUUAGCUGACGAAUAAUACUUUUUAGCCUACAAAAUGUGUUUGUCGCCAUGAAUAUUUCGUCGGCACAACCUUCUCUCUGCCGACAAAUUGGUUUUGUCAGGAAGACAUUUAAUUUAUAAAAAAAAAUGCUUUGAUGCUCAGCUCUUACAUAUGCAUAUCAAAAUACAAUAGACAAUUGUUAAGAAACAAUAUUUUACUGAUUGAUAAAUGUUGAAUGUACAUCUAGAGUGUAAUACAAAAGUAUCGUUAGUGAAAUCAUAAAACAAUUGAAGGAAUGUUACACAUGAACCAAAUAAAAAAUAUCGAAAGUCAUGGACUGAACUGUUUAUACAAAAGCUCCCCUUGUCCUGGUCUCUCGUCCAUCUCUGCAGUAGGAUUGGCUAAUGGCUCCUCAGGCGACCCAAACUCUCAUGUAACUCAAACUUGAACUCCCU